AAAUUGAAGAGUUUGAUCAUGGCUCAGAUUGAACGCUGGCGGCAGGCCUAACACAUGCAAGUCGAACGGUAACAGGAAGCAGCUUGCUGCUUUGCUGACGAGUGGCGGACGGGUGAGUAAUGUCUGGGAAACUGCCUGAUGGAGGGGGAUAACUACUGGAAACGGUAGCUAAUACCGCAUAACGUCGCAAGACCAAAGAGGGGGACCUUAGGGCCUCUUGCCAUCGGAUGUGCCCAGAUGGGAUUAGCUAGUAGGUGGGGUAACGGCUCACCUAGGCGACGAUCCCUAGCUGGUCUGAGAGGAUGA
rnacentral:rRNA from 1 species